ACGAUCAUAUCACAUAGAAACACCGGUUCUCCUACUAUCAGCGAAGUUAAGCAACGUCGAGGCUGGUCAAUAUCAGGAUGGCUGACCUUUUGGGAAUAUCAAGUGCUGUAA